GUCAUUACAGCUGCUAGGAUGGAAUGGGUGUAGUCUAUCUUUUAUCGUGUGACAGUAAACAAAAAUCAAUUUUACAUGUAACUUCAAAGCACAAGCUAAUAGUAGAAGAUUCUAUUAUAACUUACAAUUAUACUGACUAUGAUUAUUGGUAACUUUUUAUUGUGUUUUGUGAAUUGUUUUUAUAAAGUUUUAUUGUCAAACUCAA